CAAGUCGAACGCGAAAGUCCCGCAAGGGAUUAGUAGAGUGGCAAACGGGUGAGUAACGCGUGGGCGACCUACCUUCGAGUGGGGGAUAACCUUCCGAAAGGAGGGCUAAUACCGCAUGACAUCCCGUGUUUGGAUACACGGACAUCAAAGCUGGGGAUCGCAAGACCUGGCGCUUGGAGAGGGGCCCGCGUCCGAUUAGCUAGUUGGUGAGGUAACGGCUCACCAAGGCUUCGAUCGGUAUCCGGCCUGAGAGGGCGGACGGACACACUGGAACUGAGACACGGUCCAGACUCCUACGGGAGGCAGCAGUAGGGAAUUGUUCGCAAUGGGCGCAAGCCUGACGACGCAACGCCGCGUGGAGGAUGAAGACCUUCGGGUCGUAAACUCCUUUCGACCGAGAUGAACAUUCGCCGGCCUAAUAUGCCGGCGGACUGACAGUAUCGAGGGAAGAAGCCCCGGCUAACUCCGUGCCAGCAGCCGCGGUAAUACGGGGGGGGCAAGCGUUGUUCGGAAUUACUGGGCGUAAAGGGUUCGUAGGUGGCCCGCUAAGUCAGACGUGAAAUCCCUCAGCUCAACUGGGGAACUGCGUCUGAGACUGGCAGGCUCGAGUGCAGGAGAGGAACGCGGAAUUCCAGGUGUAGCGGUGAAAUGCGUAGAUAUCUGGAGGAACACCGGUGGCGAAGGCGGCGUUCUGGACUGUUACUGACACUGAGGAACGAAAGCCAGGGGAGCAAACGGGAUUAGAUACCCCGGUAGUCCUGGCCCUAAACGAUGAAUGCUUGGUGUGGCGGGUAUCGAUCCCUGCCGUGCCCA
rnacentral:rRNA from 1 species